GCGACAGCCUGGAGCCAGGCUCUCUCAAGUCAUGUCAAGAGGCCAGUUUAAUCCGGGGCUCGAAGGUCGCUGUUACUGAUCAGAACAACUUGUCGGUGACCCUGAACAAGCUUCUUGACCUGCGUGCACCUCAGCUUCCCCAGGAAACAGAGAUGGUACAGUCCCGUUACCAGGACAGGUGGGAUGAUGGGAGGGGCUGAGCGGACUCUGGAGGACUGGCUCCACCCAGCCUCCUGGAUGACUGUCCCCAGGCACACCCUCCACGCUGGCCUCAUCAAGCCACCCAGGGCGCACCCCAGCCGUCUCAUCUCCUGGGAUGGCUUCACCCAGAUACCCCGCUCCCCCCUCCAAUCACAGCCUGAGAGGCGGGGGGGCAGGUGAGUGCGCAGGGCGUGCCGGGAGCGCUGCCCCUGUGGCAGGGAAGCCGACGGUGACACACAGGCAAGGCACCUCUCCGAGUCACCAAAUAGGGCUGCCGGCUGUCUGACACUCAGUGAGGUCACCUAGGUAGCAUCUGAGCACAGAGCCUGCCACCUGUACAGCCCCAGCCGGCCUCUGGACCUCAGCAGGCCACCCCUGCCCGGAGGGCACUUUCUCUCCCUUGCCCGGCAGCCACUCUCAACACUCCAUUUUCUGUCCCCACCAUCAGCCCUCCACCACUUUUUUUAAAGUUUAUUUAUUUUGGUGGGGGCGGGGAGGGAGAGGGAGAGAGGGGGGAGGGAGGGGGAGAGAGAGAGAGAGAGAGAACAAGCAGGGGAGGGGCAGAGAGAACCCCAAGCCGGCUCUGCACGCAGUCAGUGCAGAGCCCGAUGCGGGGCUCAAACGCAUGAAUGGCGAGAUCAUGACCUGAGCUGAAAUGGAGUCAGAUGCUCAACCGACUGGGCCACCAAGGCGCCCCCAUCCCUCAACCACUUUGGAGCAUUGUUUAUAUUCCAGGCCACCAACCCUAAGGAUGCCGGAGCUGGAGGCGGGGCCCGGCCUCGUGCACAAUGGCUGUCUGGGUCAAUAGCACAGCACACCCCCAGGCCUUGAACUCUGAACAGCGCCUCCACCGCUCCCUGAAGCCCCAGUGCCAGCCGCAGGGACCUGCAGCAGCUUCCCAGGUCAGAGGAGGUCCCGUUCCCGCCCCUCUGCCCAACUCGCAUCCCUGCUCUCCUCACCACCUCCUUCC
rnacentral:lncRNA from 1 species